GGGGGGAUGUUCAGAACUGGACCCUUGUUAAUAGUUUGCAAUUGUGCAAAAAUAAUCAUUUUGUUCGAAACAGACUAUAGCGCUCAAUUCUUUUCGUUAACCAGCUGCAUUGUGUAGACUACUUUUCGAUUUUUUUCAUUUCUUCCGGAGAAGGCAGGCCUGUUGAUUAUUCUAACAAAAUAUACUGUGCCAGCUGGCGUUUUGUUGAAUUUGUUGUACAUAUAGCAAAUCGCGGCGGAUAAAGUUAGAUGUUGUAUGAUUUGUAUAAAAGAAAUCAAUGUAAACAGAAGGUCUAAGUACAUGUAUCAUUGAAGAAUUGAGAAUUAUAUCGAUGCAUGUUUUUAUUUAAACUAUAGUGUACUGAAUUGCCAUGCUUUUGAUAUGCCUUUUUAUUGCAACCUUGGGGGUAAAUUAUCGGUAUGCAUGUAUAGUUGGAGUAUAAAAA
rnacentral:misc_RNA from 1 species